rnacentral:rRNA from 1 species
GACGAACGCUGGCGGCGUGCCUAAUACAUGCAAGUUGAGCGCUGAAGGUUGGUACUUGUACCGACUGGAUGAGCAGCGAACGGGUGAGUAACGCGUGGGGAAUCUGCCUUUGAGCGGGGGACAACAUUUGGAAACGAAUGCUAAUACCGCAUAAAAACUUUAAACACAAGUUUUAAGUUUGAAAGAUGCAAUUGCAUCACUCAAAGAUGAUCCCGCGUUGUAUUAGCUAGUUGGUGAGGUAAAGGCUCACCAAGGCGAUGAUACAUAGCCGACCUGAGAGGGUGAUCGGCCACAUUGGGACUGAGACACGGCCCAAACUCCUACGGGAGGCAGCAGUAGGGAAUCUUCGGCAAUGGACGAAAGUCUGACCGAGCAACGCCGCGGGAGUGAAGAAGGUUUUCGGAUCGUAAAACUCUGUUGGUAGAGAAGAACGUUGGUGAGAGUGGAAAGCUCAUCGAGUGACGGUAACUACCCAGAAAGGGACGGCUAACUACGUG